rnacentral:pre_miRNA from 1 species
UCGAAAAACAUGCUUCCGUUCAAGAGUUAUAGCAUUUUGAAGUUUUGUUCUGUUUUUUGGGAUAUUAAAAAAAAUUGGAAAUUCGAUAACUCUUGAACGGAAGCAUGUUUUUC